ensembl:lncRNA
CUCCUCUCUCCUCCACCCCUUCUCUCUCCUUCGAUCUCUCUCUCCAUUCCUCCCUCAAUCUUUGUCUCUCUCUGUCUCAGUCCAGCAGCUCUGGCACUAAGGACUCUGUGUCUAAGGGACGGUUGGGUGAGUGAGCAUCCAAGCACAGGUGGAAUUAAGGUUAUAGGGUUAAACACACACACACACACACACACACACACACACACACACACACACACACACACACACACACACACACACACACACACACACACACACACACACACACACACACACACACACACACACACACACACACACUAUACUCCAGCUCAUGUGAUCAACGGCCAGGUGGUGUGUGUGUGUGUGUGUGUGUGUAUGCGUGCAUGUGUUUUUAUGUGUGUGUGUGUGACUGAGAGUCCAUCUGCCGCUCUGAUUCUCCAAUGUCGACACUCUUUGAUCUGUGGUGACACAGCAUAUGGCCUCCUGGUUCUACCCUUCCCUCUCUCUCUCUCUCUCCCUCUCCUUCCUUCUCUUCCUCUCCUCCUUCAAGCCAACAGUCUGUCCUGAUAUAAACCGUCUGUGAUAUGAAUAUGAGCUCCAGAGACAGCAUGAGUGUUCCAAAUGACACCCUAUUCCCUUCAAAGGGCACUACUUCUGACCAGGGUAUACAGGGGACUAGGGUGCUACUUGGGAAGCAGACAGACACACGGCUGAUAUUCCUCAAAGCUUUUGGGCCAUUACUCAAACUCUGUCAUCGGAGAGAUAUGAAAUCAUAUAUUUCAUUGAAGGAUAGGCACCCAUUACAUCUCCAGUCAUCCCAAACCAGAUAUGAUCUCUGAGUCCCAAACGGCCUGCUUUUCUCUAUACAGUGCAUUAUUUAUGACCAGGGCGAGUAGGGCUCUGGUCAAAAGUAGUACACGGCGUAGGGAAUAGGGUGCCAUUUGAGGUGAGGACAAUAUGCCUGAUGCACUAAUCUGCUGUUUAAACCACUAGUCCAUUAAAUGGUGGAAAAUACAUGAACAAUAUUAGGCUCAGGUCAAUGUUUGAAUAAGAUAAGGUAGCUAGGUAGGCCAUGUUUUUAUGUCUGCAUCCUAUCCUAUUCCCUACGGGCCCUGGUGAAAAGAAGUGCCCUAAAUAGGGAAUAGGGUGCCAUUUGGGCUGAAGGUUAUAGCCUAGCAGCGUAGUACACACGUACCGUUGAUGACGCAGGCUUAGACGUAGGGACCAUAGUAUGAUACUAUAGCCAUUUUCCAAUGCAUCAUAUGAAGCACACGUACUCACGCACGCACACACAAGCAAACACACUCUUGGACUCAUACCUUAGAUUUAACUGCAUGGUCGCACGCCUCUCUCUCCUCAGAGCCCAAAUAUUCUCUCUUUCUCUCUCCUGCUCUCUCCUCUGUUUACAUAAGACAACAGAGGAGUAAUCGGAUGGAUUUUCACCUUUGUACAAACAGCAACAAUGGCUGCCACCACAGAGACCACACCAUCACUAUGACAAGAACCAGGGACAGGAGAGAGGGAGAGGGAGGAAGGGGGGAUUGGGGGAGAGGGAGAGAGUGUAAGGGUGGGAAGGAGAGAGAGAGAGGGCGGGAAGGAGGGGGGAGGGAGAGAGAGGGGACAUUCCGCAUGAAGCUGAAACAAAAAAAGACUAUGACUUUUUGGAAAGAGAGGGAAGGAAGAAAGAAAUAAAGAACCAUUAUGACUGACCCCCUGUAGCCCAAACCUCUCCCCCUCCAUUCCUCCUUCCAUCCCCCCCUCCAUUCCUCCCUCAUUCUCUCCGUCAUCUGACUCCCACCUGACUAGAUGUGUAUCCCAAAUAGCACCCUCUGACCUAAACAGUGCACUACUGUUGACAUGGGCAGACUCCGGCAGAAUGCUAUCUCAGAAAACCCAGAGAUUUGAAUUUCUGGAUUUCUGAGGACAACCUUCAACAUGACGAUACAGGGUAUAAUAAAAUUCCUAUGAAGUAACAUAGUCCAGACCGACACCUUAUCUGGCAAUGACUCAUUCACACACAUGUACACGCUCGCACAGACACAAACACACACACACACACACACUUGAAACCAGAUGUGCAGAACCAGCCCCAGACAGGGAGCCUGAGGGCUGAGCGAACCCAAGUGUAUCACGACGGACGGGGACUAAACACACAACACCCCCACCUGGAAGUCCCAGAUCAAGUUGCAUAAAUCAUUCUAUGUAAUGAUUCAACAACGAACAGAGUGAAAAGAGAAUUAAUAUAUAGAGUCACACUUUCCUUCUGCACUAGUGGCUAAACACACUACACUAGACCAGUUAGAUAGAGGUGUUAUCAUCCCACACUACACUAGACCAGUUAGAUAGAGGUGGUGUUAUCAUCCCACACUACACUAGACCAGUUAGAUAGAGGUGUUAUCAUCCCACACUACACUAGACCAGUUAGAUAGAGGUGGUGUUAUCAUCCCACACUACACUAGACCAGUUAGAUAGAGGUGGUGUUAUCAUCCCACACUACACUAGACCAGUUAGAUAGAGGUGGUGUUAUCAUCCCCCACUAGACCAGUUAGAUAGAGGUGGUGCUAUCAUCCCACAUCACACUAGACCAGUUAGAUAGAGGUGGUGUUAUCAUCCCACACUACACUAGACCAGUUAGAUAGAGGUGGUGUUAUCAUCCCACACUACACUAGACCAGUUAGAUAGAGGUGGUGUUAUCAUCCCACACUACACUAGAC